UAGAGUACUCUAAGUAAUGACGCAAACCAAGCGUCAUACAGAAACAACCUUAAGAGGGGAUGAGGUUUCUGUAUCACGCGUUUAUUAAAGUGCCAACACAAGACAGAAAGCAGAACUAGAGUAUUGAGUGCCAAAGAAAUCUUAGCGGCGGACGGGUGAGUAACACGUGGGCAACCUGCCUCAAAGAGGGGGAUAACACCGAGAAAUCGGUGCUAAUACCGCAUAACAUACAUUGACCGCAUGGUCGAUGUAUCAAAGGAGUAAUCCGCUUUGAGAUGGGCCCGCGGCUGAUUAGCUAGUUGGUGAGGUAACGGCUCACCAAGGCGACGAUCAGUAGCCGACCUGAGAGGGUGACCGGCCACACUGGAACUGAGACACGGUCCAGACUCCUACGGGAGGCAGCAGUGGGGAAUAUUGCGCAAUGGGGGAAACCCUGACGCAGCAACGCCGCGUGGAGGAAGAAGGUCUUCGGAUUGUAAACUCCUGUCUUCUGGGACGAUAAUGACGGUACCAGAGGAGGAAGCCACGGCUAACUACGUGCCAGCAGCCGCGGUAAUA
rnacentral:rRNA from 1 species